rnacentral:rRNA from 1 species
AGCGAACGCUGGCGGCAGGCCUAACACAUGCAAGUCGAACGAACUCUUCGGAGUUAGUGGCGGACGGGUGAGUACCACGUGGUAACGUGCAUUUUGGUUAGGUAUAACUCAGGGAAACUUGUGCUCAUACCGCAUGUGCCCUUCGGGGGAAAGAUUUAUCGCUAUUUGAGCGGCCCGCGUCAGAUUCGCUAGUUGGUGAGGUAACGGCUCGCCAAGGCGACGAUCAGUAGCUGGUCUGGGAGGAUGACCAACCACACUGGGACUGAGACACGGCCCACACUCGGACGGGAGGCAGCAGUGGGUAAUCUUGCGCAAGGGGCGAAAGCCUGACGCAGCCAUGCCGCGGAAAUGAUGAAGGUCUUAGGAUUGUAAAAUUCUUUCACCGGGGACGAUAAUGACGGUACCCGGAGAAGAAGCCCCGGCUAACUUCGUG